UACGGAGGGUGCAAGCGUUAUCCGGAUUUAUUGGGUUUAAAGGGUCCGUAGGCGGGCUCGUAAGUCAGUGGUGAAAUCUCAUAGCUUAACUAUGAAACUGCCAUUGAUACUGCGAGCCUUGAGUAAGGUAGAGGUAGCUGGAAUAAGUAGUGUAGCGGUGAAAUGCAUAGAUAUUACUUAGAACACCAAUUGCGAAGGCAGGUUACCAUGUCUUAACUGACGCUGAUGGACGAAAGCGUGGGGAGCGAACAGG
rnacentral:rRNA from 2 species